CUGCCCCCGCCGCCGCCUCUGCCGCCGCUGUUGCGACUGCUGCUGCUGCUGGAGCUCUUGCUGGCUGCAACGGCAUGGUCAGCGGAGAUAUGCAAGCCAGUAGAUGGUCAGUGCGAGGGUCCGCCUCUGCCAGGCACCUUCUUCAUCUCUCGUAACAACACACAAGUACUGGCUGCCCUCGGAGAUGAUGUCCGCCUUCCGUGUCAGAUUCGAGGGGCCAUGACGCACAAGGUAUGCUGGUUCCGCAAAUCGUCUCGGCGUCUGCUAACGGUCCAGGAUAAGAGCUUCACGCAGGAUGAGAGG